UUUUUUUUUGUAUUUUUCGAUGGUGUAUCGGCAUAAUUUGCUCAAAAUCGCUGCGCGGAGAUAUUUCACUUCUACGCGUCAUGGCUCCGCGCGGAGAUACAUAUGUAUGUAUGUCGGAGAUAUGACGCUUUCAAACGACAUUUGCCAACGCUUGUCCGGGUGGAGGCACUCUUAACCAUGUGUCUGGGACGGACUUAUCUCGUUAUUCGUUAUCUCGGACUCGUUAUCUGGACACUACUUUUUUCCAAAACUCUUAAAAAAUCUGCUCAAAAAUAGUCACAAAACAUUCCAUCACUAGGCGCAGCUGCCAUCCCUAGAUUUCCACAGCCCAGACAAAAGAACGGCAUACACACACACACACAUAUACAAAGUAACGGCAAGCAGAGGCCCGAACUUCGGGCACAACCAAAGCGUCGGAAUCCGAAAGCGGGCAGAGAGAGUGCCGACAGCGAAACACAUACAUAGGAGCAGCAAAAGAACCAUGCGGAUGUGCAUGUGCCAAAGCGAGAGGGAAGAGACAGAAGCGGCUCAGUAUCACCUCUGCCUCUGCUUCAAUUUCACGUGGCCCACGGACUAUAAAAUGGAGGCCACAUGCUGUCUUUUCCGCAUUUUGCCAAAAUUCGCCAUAGCGCAAUAUAUUAUCGCAUAUACAGUCAGCACAACAUUUAUUCGGACACUCGUCUAUAUCAACUUUCUUUAUAAAUAACUUGAAAAGUAUUUAAGUUUGAAAAAAAAUUUUUAUUUCAUUAUGAACAUGGAUAUUACUACUACUAAUUUCAAAUCUAAAAACAUAAAAAACCUUCUUUGGCAUAUCAAAAAAAAUUAAAAGUAUCAAAAAGGCUACUUUUUUACGCACAACAAUUAUUCGGACACUUUUUAUUUUGUACGAAAAAAACUUAUUGUCCCCAAUUUUUUCUGAUUUCAAUAUUUUGUGGGGCCGCCCUUAGCUUCAAUAACAGCUUUUAGACGUCGGGGCAUACUUUUUACCAAAUGAUUGGUUUCAUUGGGAUUAAUUUUCUCCCAUUCCGUCAUCAGAGCCGUUUUAAGGAUUUCCUUGGAGGAAAUUUUAUGUUUCCUAAUUUUUUUUUCUAGCAAAUCCCAAACAUGCUCUAUGGGGUUCAGAUCUGGUGACUGCGGCGGCGUUUUUAACUGCUUGC